UGGGAUGUGGCUCAGUAGUAGAGAGCUUGCCUAGUAUGCAGUGGGCAUGAAGCUCCUGGGUUCAAUUCUCAGCACUAG
rnacentral:tRNA from 1 species